AGGACGAACGCUGGCGGCGUGCUUAACACAUGCAAGUCGAACGGUGAAGCCAGAGCUUGCUCUGGUGGAUCAGUGGCGAACGGGUGAGUAACACGUGAGUAACCAACCCGGACUUCGGGAUAACCCCGGGAAACCGGAGCUAAUACCGAAUAUGAGGCGUACAGGCAUCUGUAGCGUCUGGAAAGAUUUAUCGGUUCGGGACGGACUCACGGCCUAUCAGCUUGUUGGUGAGGUAACGGCUCACCAAGGCAACGACGGGUAGCCGGCCUGAGAGGGUGACCGGCCACACUGGGACUGAGAUACGGCCCAGACUCCUACGGGAGGCAGCAGUGGGGAAUAUUGCACAAUGGGCGCAAGCCUGAUUGCAGCGACGCCGCGUGAGGGAUGACGGCCUUCGGGUUGUAAACCUCUUUCAGUAGGGAAGAAGCGAGAGUGACGGUACCUGCAGAAGAAGCACCGGCUAACUACGUGCCAGCCGCCGC
rnacentral:rRNA from 1 species